GAUGAACGCUGGCGGCGUGCCUAAUACAUGCAAGUCGAGCGAACGGACGAGAAGCUUGCUUCUCUGAUGUUAGCGGCGGACGGGUGAGUAACACGUGGAUAACCUACCUAUAAGACUGGGAUAACUUCGGGAAACCGUAGCUAAUACCGGAUAAUAUUUUGAAUCGCAUGGUUCAAAAGUGAAAGACGGUCUUGCUGUCACUUAUAGAUGGAUCCGCGCUGCAUUAGCUAGUUGGUAAGGUAACGGCUUACCAAGGCAACGAUGCAUAGCCGACCUGAGAGGGUGAUCGGCCACACUGGAACUGAGACACGGUCCAGACUCCUACGGGAGGCAGCAGUAGGGAAUCUUCCGCAAAGGGCGAAAGCCUGACGGAGCAACGCCGCGUGAGUGAUGAAGGUCUUCGGAUCGUAAAACUCUGUUAUUAGGGAAGAACAUAUGUGUAAGUAACUGUGCACAUCUUGACGGUACCUAAUCAGAAAGCCACGGCUAACUACGUG
rnacentral:rRNA from 1 species